rfam:Ornithorhynchus anatinus chromosome X1, whole genome shotgun sequence.
CCCCUCUCAGGAUCAUACCUGGAGAAUUUCCAUUACUCUACCAGUCUUGAUUAUGGGAGGAAGAAUCAAGCAGAGGCACACCCAUUCCAUUCCUAGCUUGGGCAGUGGCUAGCGAGUGGGAGGCAAUCUGCUACAAGU